UUAGAGUUUGAUCAUGGCUCAGAUUGAACGCUGGCGGCAGGCUUAACACAUGCAAGUCGAGCGGGGAAAGGUAGCUUGCUACCUGACCUAGCGGCGGACGGGUGAGUAAUGCUUAGGAAUCUGCCUAUUAGUGGGGGACAACGUUCCGAAAGGAACGCUAAUACCGCAUACGUCCUACGGGGGAAAGCAGGGGAUCUUCGGACCUUGCGCUAAUAGAUGAGCCUAAGUCGGAUUAGCUAGUUGGUGGGGUAAAGGCCUACCAAGGCGACGAUCUGUAGCGGGUCUGAGAGGAUGAUCCGCCACACUGGGACUGAGACACGGCCCAGACUCCUACGGGAGGCAGCAGUGGGGAAUAUUGGACAAUGGGCGCAAGCCUGAUCCAGCCAUGCCGCGUGUGUGAAGAAGGCCUUUUGGUUGUAAAGCACUUUAAGCGAGGAGGAGGCUCCUUUAGUUAAUACCUAAAGAGAGUGGACGUUACUCGCAGAAUAAGCACCGGCUAACUCUGUGCCAGCAGCCGCGGUAAUACAGAGGGUGCGAGCGUUAAUCGGAUUUACUGGGCGUAAAGCGUGCGUAGGCGGCUUUUUAAGUCGGAUGUGAAAUCCCUGAGCUUAACUUAGGAAUUGCAUUCGAUACUGGAAAGCUAGAGUAUGGGAGAGGAUGGUAGAAUUCCAGGUGUAGCGGUGAAAUGCGUAGAGAUCUGGAGGAAUACCGAUGGCGAAGGCAGCCAUCUGGCCUAAUACUGACGCUGAGGUACGAAAGCAUGGGGAGCAAACAGGAUUAGAUACCCCGGUAGU
rnacentral:rRNA from 1 species